GUCUAGAGCCAUACUACCCUUAAAUGUGCCCCAUCUUUCUGGAUCUUGGAAGUUAGACAGGGUCAGGCAUGGUCAGUACUUACUUGGAUGGGAGACUCCCUGGAGAUUCAGGGUUCUGUAGGCU
rnacentral:rRNA from 1 species